ensembl:lncRNA
AAAAGAAGGACCAUGUGUGCAACGUGUGUGGGGCGUAAAAUACAUGGCCGUACCAGGGAUCUCUUGGGGAGCUCUUAAUUUUACUUCUCUAUGGAUGGCAAAAUGUGAAAGCAACAAGAGAGCGGAAAAAAAGGCUACAACAAAUCUGGUAGCAGACAUUCAGUUGGCUAUGGUGUAGAUUACACCAACUUGGGUGACCUCAAUGUUUAUGGGAAUAAACACACAUACCCCAUUAAGAAGCCCAUCUACGCGUCAACUGAUUUCAUAAAUGUAAAUAGAAAUAUCUUUAUCAUUGGACCUGCCAUAUUUUUUACAUGAGGAUAAUGAAUUUACAAAUUCAUGUGAUUUCAUUAUGUUAAAUAAUGGCUUGCUUUGAAUAAAAAAUAAAUAAAAAAAAGAUAAAUGCUUAUAUGGAAAUUUGGUCAGUUGGUAUGGAUGUAUGGAUGUAUUUAUGCAAUUACAUGCAAAUACAGUUGACUAGUAAUUGUAUUAAUAAUAGAAAUACCACUGUGUUUUCUUUUUUUUUUUUUUUGGCUGUGACCAUUAAAGUGUUAAAUAAAAAGUAUUAACGUAUUGACUGUG